UCUGAAUGAAAAAACUAACAAAGCAUUGACUAAGUGUAACUAAUAAAAGUCUCUGUCAUGGUCUUCACCCUCAGGUUCAAAGUGACGCUGGAACACUGGAACCAGGAAGAUCAUUAACUCUACCCUUCACAGUGUCGACCAGCGGAUCUGGAGGAGUUUUUAAUAUCAGAGUCAGUAAUGACCGAAGUUUCCUAAUGGCUGAUUUUCCAUCAACCCUGACUCUGGAGACUGGGGGCAGUGUGAAUGAUACAGUAACUCUGACUGCACCUGGAAACACCCCCUCAGGAACUGACGUCACGCUGACUAUCGAAGCUGAAGCACCACGAGCAACAGAUUUCAACUACGCAGUGCUGAGGAUUUCUGUAGUCACUCCGGUAACAGACAUUACUCCUCCAGUGUGUGAGAUAGUUAGCGUUAAUGCUAACUGCUCAGGGAACUGCAGCCUCUUGUGGUGGGAUCUCUCCGCUAACAUCACUGACAGAAACGGUUCAGGUAUUCAGCGUCUGGCAGUGCGCCAAGGCCUCGCCACCCUCAACACCAGCACUGUUCUGGACGGAGGCGUGAACGUCACGCUGGCGUUCCUUCGAGCUUCCUGCUGUUUCCCUCAGGCGGAGCUGGUGGUGGUGGAUUCAGAGGGGAAUGUCGGCUCCUGCAGCAGAUCAGUGACCUCUACAGUUUCACCGAGCACCAGCAGUCCUACAGUCCCAACCAGUGCUAACAGAGCAGAGCGUCCUCUGGGGGUGCCAGGCUUCUUUUGGGUCACUGCAGGAAUCAUCCUGCUGUUCCAGUUCACCUAAAUCCUGAACUCCACCGGGAAUAUUUAAGCUCUACCACCAGCAUGUUUAAGCUUAUGUAAUGUUAAUAAUGCAGCAAUCAUGCUUUAAUACAGAGUAAUGGGGUCAUGAAUAUAUUAAAAUGCACAUUAACCCUCGUGUUAUGUUAUGUACAUUUUUUCCAGGAACAGCAACGGUGCUUCCGGGUCAAUUUGACUCAAAUGUGCAUGUUUAAUUACCAUAAGAUGUGUAGCGUGCUUUAUUUACUCUAACUUUUAUUAGUUUAUUUAAUUAUUUUAAACGCUGCCACCACAUUUGGAAAGCCAGGAAGUUUAUACAACUACCAUAGAUGGCUAAAAAGACUUAUCAGAGCUAGGAAUCUAAUCUGUCACACACACAAUUCAUUAUAUGCAAAAUACACUCUACACAUCACUUAAAAACCACUGCAAAAUGACCCCCACUCAAGAUCAAAUGCCCUCUUAUACAGCACUACAAUCGUGUUAGAUAGAGCACACCAUUUAGCAUAUAAAAUAUUUCACACAAAUAUAUUCCUAGCUCUAUUAUAGCCAUCUUAUAUAGUACUUUAGAGAUUAAUAACUCAUCCUAUAUACAGGGUUCGUACAGUCAUGAAAAACCUGAAAAAGUCAUGGAAUUUGAAAAUAGCAAUUUCCAGGCCUGGAUAAGUUAUGGAAAAAUAAAAAUACCCAGAAAGUUUUGGAAAAGUCUCGG
rnacentral:lncRNA from 1 species